rfam:Dipodomys ordii contig_2809, whole genome shotgun sequence.
GGGAAAGUGGCUCAGUGGUAGAGUGCUUGCCUUGCAUGCAUGAAGCCCUGGGUUUGAUUCCUCAGCACCUA